GCCUUGGAGUGGGAAUAACAGCUGGAAACAGCUGCUAAUACCGCAUGAUGCAGUUGGGCCGCAUGGCUCUGACUGCCAAAGAUUUAUCGCUCUGAGAUGGACUCGCGUCUGAUUAGCUAGUUGGCGGGGUAACGGCCCACCAAGGCGACGAUCAGUAGCCGGACUGAGAGGUUGGCCGGCCACAUUGGGACUGAGACACGGCCCAGACUCCUACGGAAGGCAGCAG
rnacentral:rRNA from 1 species